rnacentral:tRNA from 1 species
ACCUGGCUGGCUCAGUUAGUAAGGGCACGUGAUUCUUGUUCUCAGGAUUGUGAGUUCAAGUCUCAUGUUGGGCA